GAGGAUGAGACAUCAGGAAUAGUCGGGAUAGCUCAUUUGGUAGAGCAGAGGACUGAAAAUCCUCGUGUCACCGGUUCAAAUCCGGUUCCUGACAC
rnacentral:tRNA from 1 species